GGAAGUGGUAGAUCAGUGGUUAGGACAUUGGACUUCUCAUUGAAAGGUCAUGAGUUCAAAUCCCAGCACUGCCA